rnacentral:rRNA from 1 species
AUGGCCGCUGAUGGCACCGUGUUCCCCUGCCCCCGAGCUCGCGCCGCCGGUCCCCUACAGUUCGAUGACCAACGUGCUUCAGUCCAAAUCCAUAUGCGGGGAGCUGCGAGGAUGAAUUGCUUUUUGGGAAAAUGGAGCUCCAAAAAAAUGUGUCUACAUUUCGCAGCAGGACGAGUGAUUGAUUGCUCAAACAGUCAAACUAGUACUACUGCGAUUGAUCUGGAAGAAAUCCCAGUGCUUGAAGUGUUCGUUUUUACCAUGGAAAUGGAAGAAGAAUUAGUGCUACAAGAGAUUAGUACCUGGCUGCUGCUUGACAGGCUCUGGGACGAGGGGAAUCUGCUGGAUUGGAGGAGCCUUGGCCUCCUCCUGCUUGGGAGCCUCUGGAAUGGUAGUGGCAGGAGGAGUCUGCUGGACUGGUGCAGGAAGCGUAGCCGGGUCGGAUUGAACCAAGGACUGUGA